AUAAUAUAUUGUGCAGUUCUAUCUUGAUUAUAGGUUAGUUGUCUUUACUUAAUCUCUUCUGUCUUUGGCCAAAAACUUGCUCUCACAUGUUUAAUGCUGUGUAAGCAUUAUCAAAGACAAUUUUACAUAGAUAUAAAAACAAAUUUAAACAAAAUAGGUUGUUGCGCGUUCUAUGAAUGCUGUAACACAUUUGAACCUCAUUACUUUUCUUAUUAUUUACCUUGUAGACAUUACAUGAAACAUGACGUCAUGAAAAUGUACUUGAAAGUUCUGGAAAAUUUUUGGAAUUUUAGUUGUAAAAAUGCAUAUGAACCCUGUACAAGGAUCAUGCCCAACAUAUGUGCUUAUUUUCUAUUUAUAUUUCCUUUAAAAUAUGGUAUAAAUCACAAAAAUACGAACUUUCAUCUAUGUCUCCCUUUCGAUUUUUUUAUACCUGCCCUCUAUCUGAAUUUCGUACUUCAUCAGAAUCACGUGAUUGUAAACAACUUAUACCAAAACAUGAAAUCUCAUAUAUUAUCAGUUCACCUCUUUAUUAGGGACUUUUAGGGUUUCAAAGCCAUGUAAUUUAGAUGUCCUAUAACCUUAUAUUUUUUUAAAAAUUAUUUUUAAGGAUUUUUCACCCCUCACAGUGUAGAUUUUACAGACAGGAAAGUGUGGGGAGCAGAGAUUUGGGAAGGAUCGGCAAACAACCUUAAGCCAGGAAUCAAACUUGGGUCUCCAUGAGGACCUCGGUGCUAUGUGUUAACACAAUAACCACUAGGCUAUUAGCGCUGACUGUUCUAUUACCUUUUCACUUUCAUUUGACCUCUGUCCUGACUUUUUUGGAAAGUGUUACAGCCAUAAAAUCUUUGUAUAUUUACAGUUUAUAAGUUUGUCAGUAAAAACAGUGGUAAUCUUUUCUUUAUCCUUUUGUGUAUUGAAAAAAGUUCAAGAGAAUGAACAAAUGUCAAACGUGUGAAUUCAUUGCAUUUGACUAAAUGUCCCAACUAGGGUUUUGGUUAGCACUCAAACAUGACACCAAAGUCCACCUCUGACCCUGACAAGCCUGCUCAAAGGUUUGAGAGGUCAACUGGUCAAGUGGCAUUUUAUCCCCAUUCCAGUGAGCCAUAUCUAACAUGCUUUUCUUCUCCCUGUGUCUCACUUUCUUUAACGGCAGGCUGUCAGGCUUCUGGAGUCAUUAGAAACGGACACCUGCUUGCUGAAUGGGGGUCGAGCAAUGCCACAAGAACUUGUGCGACGACUCCAAUCUCAUUAAAGGAUCGGAGUGCUUGCCUGUGAUGACGGUCUCUCACAGCCACAUGUACAACAGCCUUGGACUCUCUUCUCCUCUCCUCGGGGCAUCUGGUGUGGACCUUAAUCCCAGCGUAGCCUGAUGGUUGAGUGUGCCCAGGCAGACUGGAGCUAAUCUGCUGGAGAGAGAGAGAAAAAAAGAGCCUGUCCGUGCUUGCUGUUAACACGUCUCGUUCCUGCUCAACUCUGGGAGCUGUGCAGGGUGACCUGGGUUAAUUGCAGCUGCAGAGAUGAACAGCCUGGGUCACCUUCGCUACGGAAGAGACGGGGGAAAAAUGAGGCACACUUUGUACCUGAAGUGGAGUCGGCAGAGAUUGGCCCUCCUUCAGCUUAUCUCUCUGGGUUUCUCCACACCCUCUCCUCUGCUCGCCUGUGCUGGUCACAUGCUUGACCUGCUCGACUGGCCUGAACCACACCUGUCCCACAUACCUGCUUCACACCUGUACUGUACCCAAUGACACUUUAGUGUGAGGAUCACAUGACCUGCAGACCCUGCCUCUCUGAAUGCACCUUCCUCUUUCCCUGCUCUGGAUUGGCUAACGCUGGCGUUGGAUCUCAGGCUGAUUGACGGGCACUGCGACUUGAUGGAGAGGGUCAGGGGUGACCCUGGGGCAGCAGUGGGGGCCUGGGUGACUGACGCUGGCUCUCCCUGUCCUCCGGGCUCAGGGAUUGAAUGUCAGCUUCUCUAAUAACGGGUUAUAGUGAAAAGGUCAGCUCCAGUCGUCUGACCAUGAGAACGGAGAGAAAAAGAGAGAUGAACGCAAUGCCAGCGGCGGAAAUUGAUUGUCUGGCAGGGCGAAAGGAAAUGAAGAGAAAAAGAAAAAUGGAAGGCCGCACCUGAGAGAGGACUUCCUAUACGCACAGCAUCGCCACUAAAUCUCUGCUAAAUAAAAGCAGGAACGUCCGGCGAAUACCAAAUUGGCCCGCGUGGAGCUGCAGUGGAGGCCGCCAAACGCUGGAUGGGAUUUCUCCAUUGGAUCUCCACUUGGCUAUAACAGACUAAACACAGGCCACUCUUUCAGAAAAAGCUCUACUCUCCAGUUACAACCACCAGCAAUGACCCGCGGGGAGGGUCAAGUGCUCUUCUCAAGGUCAUGGCAAGAGGGCAGAGGUGUGACGGGGCUGGAGCAGAAGAUCAACCUCCUGGGACCUGCUCCAUAUUGAGCCAAGAUGGUCUGCAAACUGUGCACAGCCUAUAAUGAGUGAGUCUUGCAUCUGUUGUUGGAAAUGUACAUGUCUGUAUGAUGACUUUAUUAGCUUUUGUAUAAAGUGUAAGCUAACGGCCUAACUAAAACAGUAUUCUAUUUCAGGUACUGUAAAAAACAGUAAAUGUAAGUGUGGCAAAUUUGAGAAAUUUGUUACCAAAUUAUCUUUAAGGAGGAGCUUUACGCUUGUUAAUUCUGAGGUCAUGCUUCAUUGUUUCUGCUUGAAAUCCUCUGUCAGAUACUAAAACAAAUAGUGAGAAAUGCUAGUAGGCCUAAGCUUUAUUGACAUAGAUGGUUUCAUGAAGAUCCUUUAACAUGCUCUGAAUAUUUUCAUUCCACAAAUAGUUAUUUAUAGAGAAUAAUGUUUCUAUAGAUUAUUAUUAUCAAUUGAAAAAUGGUUCUUUGAAGAACUGUUUAUUAUUUUUUCAGCCAUCACAGGGAACGUUCGAGGUUACAGAAGUAACCCUUCGUUCCCCGAGGAGGGGAACGGAAU